GACAGAGGGUGCAAACGUUGUUCGGAAUUACUGGGCGUAAAGGGCGCGUAGGCGGCGACUCAAGUUAGAUGUGAAAGUCCUGGGCUUAACCUGGGGACUGCAUUUGAUACUGGGUUGCUUGAAUUCGGGAGAGGAUAGCGGAAUUCCCAGUGUAGAGGUGAAAUUCGUAGAUAUUGGGAAGAACACCGGUGGCGAAGGCGGCUAUCUGGACCGACAUUGACGCUGAGGCGCGAAAGCGUGGGGAGCAAACAGG
rnacentral:rRNA from 1 species